UCAAGGCUGCUUUCCAACUUGACCGUGGCCACAAAAGCACAGACCCCACGGCUUCUUGGCAAUUAAAUGGUUUUCACACUUCUAUUUUUAAAAGGCUUGGAAACGAGGAACGUAGGGGAUCAGGGCGGUUGGGUAAACGAAUGUCUUUCCAAAGUUCUGCUAGCCAGAGGCCCUGUCCUGGCAGGGGUCCCAAAGCAACUGUGAAACCAAGAUGCCACGACAGGGCCCGGUCUGCAAGCCUGUUCCUCAGAUGGGAAAAACAGAAACAUCCCAGUCCCUCAGUCUGUCCUAUGUGACGACAAAGAGUUCGUGUCCCCAAGUGGUCCAGAUGAUUGUCCCCUGCUCUGCACGGGAAUGUAAAGCUUUCACAUUUGGGAUUCUAUUGCACGGGUCCCGGGAAGCCGACUCAGAUGGAGCGCGAACCCCGGGCUGCAGUACAGAGCCGGUGCCAAGGAAAUGGGGAUGCAGGAGUGCCAGGAGGGAUGCUGGAGAAGACCGGGGAGAAGGGGCGCUGAUCACAGCACUUGACUGGAGGCAGAGGGGAGGUCCUUCACAGAAUCAUUUUCCUUAAAAUGUGGAGGGGGAGUGAAGGUGUCUCGUUUUUCUUUUUCUUCGGGAUGAUGAGCAGUGAACCACCGUGCAUGCCAGAGGAACCCACUCCCAGACCAGGCGCACCUGAUGAGCACCCAGAGCAGAGUCCCCCUCACCUGCUGCUGACAGUGUGCACCCACAGGGAGCAGCCAUCAGCCGAGACCCUCUAGGGGCUGCUGCCCAGAGCUCUGGGUGGUCCUGGUGGGAAACACGUAGAGGGAGUUCCUGGGUUUUAUCCCUCCCCUGGGGAUGGUCAUGAUUCCUCUGCCUCCUGCUCUCCUCCCGAGUCCCCAGGGGUGGGCAACACCAGUCACCCACCUCCGGUGGACCACCCAUGUGUGGGUGAGGGUCUGUCCUGGGGGGAGAGGGAAACAGCUGGUGCUGGCUAAGGCGCAGGUGGUGGCCCCGGUGCUGUGAGAGGGAAGCCCGGAGAGGGUGGGAGUCAGGGCCGGAGGCCCACAUCCCAAACAGCCUGUCAGCACGUCGUUCUGUUUCACUGCAUCCCUAAUGCAAAGCUCUGAAGCAAAGGGGUGUGACUGUUCCAGAGUGAGGAGAGAGAAGGUUCUGGGGUUCUGGACAUGGUGAGUAGGGCAGGCCUGAACAGGACACUGAGGUGGAUGGUGUGGACACAGCGGGCAGCUGAAGGCUUUAUGCCAAAUGGGAGAGACAGACAGACAGACAGAAGCAUCCCAGGACCCAGGAGGCAGGAGAGAGCCCCAGGCCGUGGAGAAGCACUGUGGUCUCCAAUGGGGCGAGGCCCGGCCCUCCCACUCCCCAGGCCUUUUUCUCUCUGUGCCUCGGAGGUCCAGGGUGGGCCUGGGGGUGUCAGAAGGGAAGCCCACCUUGGCCACUUGCCUGGCAGGGGCCCCAUAUACAUCCCUGAAGCUACUAAUAGGUGUUUGUCCCAGUUCAGUCCAGCAGAACCCUCUAUGGACCGGAGGGUGAAGAGGAGCAGCCAUGGGAGUGGGGAAGAGAGAGUCUGCUCUGCAGAGACCCAGAAGCUUCUAGGCAGUCACCACUGCCAUGGGAGCACAAGCACAC
rnacentral:lncRNA from 1 species